rnacentral:rRNA from 1 species
AGGGUUUGAUCCUGGCUCAGAACGAACGCUGGCGGCGUGGCUAAGACAUGCAAGUCGAACGGACCAGUGUAUUUAUAUAUUGGUUAGUGGCGUAAGGGUUAGUAACAGGUGGGUAACGUACCCCGUGCUUCGGGAUAGCGUCAGUUGCUUCGGCAACUUUCCGAAAGGGGCAUUAAUACCGAAUAAAAUCAAGAGUCGAUAGACUUUUGAUCAAAGAUUCAUCGGCGUGGGAGCGGCCUGCCUCCUAUCAGCUUGUUGGUGAGGUAACGGCUCACCAAGGCAACGACGGGUAGCGGGACUGAGAGGUUGACCCGCAACAUCGGGACUCAGACACUGCCCGGACCUCCACGGAGGGCUGCAGUAACGAAUAUUGUGCAAUGGGCGAAAGCCUGACACAGCGACGCCGCGUGUAGGAGGAAGUCCUUCGGGAUGUAAACUACUGUCAGGGGGAAGAAAGUGCACUUCGGUGCAUUGGUCUAACCCAGAGGAAGUCACGGCUAACUUCGUGCCAGCAGCCGCGGUAAGACGAAGGUCUAGCGUUGUUCGGUAUCACUGGGCUUAAAGCGUGUGUAGGCGGAAAAGAAAGCGUUUCGUGAAAGCCCCCGGCUUAACCGGGGAAUUGCGUGACGAACUGCUUUUCUUGAGGCAAGUAGGGGUGCAUGGAACUCUGGGUGGAGCGGUGGAAUGCGUAGAUAUCAAGAGGAACGCCAGUGGAGAAAUCGGUGCACUGGGCUUGUCCUGACGCUGAGACACGAAAGCGUGGGGAGCGAACGGGAUUAGAUACCCCGGUAGUCCACGCCGUAAACGAUGCCUACUAGGUUGUGGGGGUUCUGACACUCGCACAGCCGAAGCAAAAGUGCUAAGUAGGCCGCCUGGGGAGUACGGUCGCAAGGCUAAAACUCAAAGGAAUUGACGGGGGCUCACACAAGCGGUGGAGCAUGUGGAUUAAUUCGAAGCAACGCGCAGAACCUUACCUGGGUUUGACAUGCUUGGAUGCUUGCCUGGAAACGGGUUAAGUUACCUUCGGGUGAAACUUGCACAGGUGCUGCAUGGCUGUCGUCAGCUCGUGUCGUGAGAUGUCGGGUUAAGUCCUUUAACGAGCGAAACCCUUACCAUUAGUUGCCAGCGGGUCAUGCCGGGGACUCUAGUGGGACUGCCGGUGUUAAACCGGAGGAAGGUGGGGACGACGUCAAGUCAUCAUGGCCUUUAUGCCCAGGGCCUCACACGUGCUACAAUGGCGACUACAAAGCGACGCGAGACCGUGAGGU